GACGAACGCUGGCGGCGUGCCUAAUACAUGCAAGUAGAACGCUGAUGGAGGAUCUUGCUUCUCUGGAUGAGUUGCGUACGGGUGAGUAACGCGUAGGUAACCUGCCUGGUAGCGGGGGAUAACUCUUGGAAACGAUAGCUGAUACCGCAUAAUAGCAGUUGUUGCAUGACAACUGUUUGAAAGGUGCAAUUGCACCACACCCAGAGGGACCUGCGUUGUAUUAGCUAGUUGGUGGGGUAACGGCUCACCAAGGCGACGAUACAGAGCCGACCUGAGAGGGUGAGCGGCCACACUGGGACUGAGACACGGCCCAGACUCCUACGGGAGGCAGCAGUAGGGAAUCUUCGGCAAUGGGCGGAAGUCUGGCCGAGCAACGCCGCGUGAGUGAAGAAGGUUUUCGGAUCGUAAAGCUCUGUUGUAAGAGAAGAACGAGUGUGAGAGUGGAAAGUUCACACUGUGACGGUAUCUUACCAGAAAGGGACGGCUAACUACGUG
rnacentral:rRNA from 1 species